rnacentral:rRNA from 1 species
GAUGAACGCUGGCGGCGUGCUUAAUACAUGCAAGUCGAGCGAACAGACGCGGAGCUUGUUCCUUUCACGUUAGCCGCGGACGGGUGAGUAACACGUGGAUACCCUCCCUAUCUUACUGGGAUAUCUUCGGGACACCGGCGCUAACACCGGAUAAUCUCUUGAACCGCAUGGUUCAUUGGUGAAAGUCGGUUUUGCGGUCUCUUAUCGCUGGAUCCGCGCCGCAUUAGCUAGUUGUUAAGGUAACAGCUUACGAAGGCAACGAUGCGUAGCCGACCUGAGAGGGUGAUCGGCCACACUGGAACUGAGACACGGUCCAGACGCCUACGGGAGGCAGCAGUAGGGAAUCUUCCGCAAUGGGCGAAAGCCUGACGGAGCAACGCCGCGUGAGUGAUGAAGGUCUUCGGAUCGUAAAACUCUGUUAUUAGGGAAGAACAAAUGUGUAAGUAACUAUGCACGUCUUGACGGUACCUAAUCAGAAAGCCACGGCUAACUACGUG